UCUUAAGUUCAAGUGAUUCUCCUGCCUCAACCUCCUGAGUAGCUGGGAUUACAAGCGCACACCACCACACCUGGCUAAUUUUUGUAUUUUUAGUAGAGACAAGGUUUCAUCAUGUUGACCAGGCUGGUCUUGAACUUUUGACUUCAGAUGAUCCACCUGCCUCAGCCUCCCAAAGUGCUGGGAUUAUAGGCAUGAGCCACUGUCC
rnacentral:lncRNA from 1 species